rnacentral:antisense_RNA from 1 species
CUUCUUUAAGUUGCACUUUAUCGUAGUCGCCGUAUUUGUCUUUUU